GGGGAAUAUUGGACAAUGGGGGCAACCCUGAUCCAGCAAUGCCGCGUGUGUGAAGAAGGUCUUCGGGUUGUAAAGCACUUUCGACGGGGACGAUGAUGACGGUACCCGUAGAAGAAGCCCCGGCUAACUUCGUGCCAGCAGCCGCGGUAAUACGAAGGGGGCUAGCGUUGCUCGGAAUGACUGGGCGUAAAGGGCGUGUAGGCGGUUUACACAGUCAGAUGUGAAAUCCCCGGGCUUAACCUGGGAGCUGCAUUUGAUACGUGUAGACUAGAGUGUGAGAGAGGGUUGUGGAAUUCCCAGUGUAGAGGUGAAAUUCGUAGAUAUUGGGAAGAACACCGGUGGCGAAGGCGGCAACCUGGCUCAUGACUGACGCUGAGGCGCGAAAGCGUGGGGAGCAAACAGGAUUAGAUACCCUGGUAGUCCACGCUGUAAACGAUGUGUGCUAGAUGUUGGGUAACUUUGUUAUUCAGUGUCGCAGUUAACGCGUUAAGCACACCGCCUGGGGAGUACGGCCGCAAGGUUGAAAC
rnacentral:rRNA from 1 species